CCCUCAAGGUCUACCUGCUGCCUUCGGGGUUCAACUUCCAGCAAGAAGCGUGGGAAGCAGCCCCAUCCCCACUAAGCCCCCAAGCGGAGUGGUGUGGUGAGCCCAGCACGAAAUCCCCUUCCAAUCUCUCAAAGCAAACCUCUCCAAGCACUCGCUUACCCUACCCUGACUGGUGCCUCCAGCUUCGCACAGGUGUUGGAGGCGAUAAGGAGAGUGACAUCCAUUAAACCUGAGGCACAACAGAGCCCCAGCGGGGAGAAGAAACAGCCUGACGUCGCUUCCAGGCGAACCAGGCCACGUGCGGAUUCAGGUCAUCGCCUCUGUUGUGUCUCCUACCGGUGACUUGGCAUUUGCGCCGGCGACUGGCGGCCACCGGGAAUUCCGUAAGGGCGCCGGGAGUGGAGGGCAAAUUAACACAACUGCCCGCUAACCCCCCACCCCCACCCCCAGGCGGCAAAAGGGAGCGGGAAAUGUGGAAAGCGUCAGAAAAGAAAUCCAUCAAGGCGAAAGCACCACACAAAGGCGCGCAGGCCUCGCGUUCCUCCCGCCC
rnacentral:lncRNA from 1 species